rnacentral:rRNA from 1 species
UGAGGAAUAUUGGUCAAUGGACGCAAGUCUGAACCAGCCAAGUCGCGUGCAGGAAUAAGGCCCUAUGGGUCGCAGACUGCUUUUGCAUGAGAAUAAAAAGUGGGACGAGUCCCACUCUGUAGGUAUCAUGCGAAUAAGGAUCGGCUAACUCCGUGCCAGCAGCCGCGGUAAUACGGAGGAUCCGAGCGUUAUCCGGAUUCAUUGGGUUUAAAGGGUGCGCAGGCGGGUCUGUAAGCCCGUGGUGAAAGCCUGGUGCUCAACGCCAGAGGUGCCGCGGGG